AAAUGAUCUUUACUUCAACUUUCCUAAAGGAUAUAGAUUUCUCUCUUCUUUGGCUCCAAUAGUUUGUGCCCAAACUUCAGACCAGUAAUUCCCCAGAUGAGCCUGCUGCUACCCUACUUGCGUCUUACUUUUGCAAGCAGUUUCCAUUCUUAUUAGGCUAAUAACUGAAGACAGGAUCAAGAUAUCUUUCUAACCUAUCCAAAAUACCUGAAGAUUCUGUCACAUUCAACAGUGCAUCCUCAACCUUGGCAAUACAAACUUCUAAAUCAGUUGAGAUCCACCUCACUCUCUUUUUGGUUUACAAUAGGAUGGACUGUGAAAAAGUCUGGGGCUUCAUAGGCCCUGGACUGGAAAAGAUUGUCAGCCAGAAAUCUGUGUGAGGAAAAAUCCUGGUACAAGGCAGAGUGAAGAGAAGGGAGGAGAUGAUUGCUAAAGACCUCUCCACUUGACAGUUGCACCAUGGACCACACCUGCUCCCCGCCACCCUGAGAUCAUAUGGCAUUCUUCAGCAGUAGACUUCAAAUUUACAGUGAAGAAGAAGAAUCAAGUGUACAUCCAAAUCUGAAUUACUGCAUUCAAAGAAAAAUUACCACUGCUAGCCACUCUACAAGAAUAGCACAAGAACAAGAAAGUCACCUAACUUGAAGACUUGGUGACCAAAACUCAUCCAGCAAAGAUAAAUAACAAAGAACAAUAUUGCUGAUUAAUCUCUUCCUGGGAUGUACAAAGAGAAAACACAAGGAAAAACAAUGAAACCAUGGAACCUGAGCAAGAAAACUAAAGUCAUAGUAAAGUAACUAAACACAAAUAAAGGAAAAAACAAAAUGAAA